CCCCUACGUAGUCAUAGGUUAUUCUAAAUAUCAAAUCAUAAAAAUAAAUCAAGUACUCUAUAAUCAGAUCCUGAUCAUAGCCUAUCUCACUGAGUAUAAAUUGUAUCUUUAGAUCAUGACUCAUCCCUAUGUAGCCAUAGUCUAUUCAAAAAUCUAAAUUAUAGUCCAAACUAAAAGCACAAUUCUUGAAGUAAUGAAAAAAAUGUAUUCAUGAAGAAAAGUCAUUAC
rnacentral:lncRNA from 1 species